UUUGCCUACGGGGCGCAGCAGUGAGGAACAUUGGUCAAUGGCCGGAAGGCUGAACCAGCCAAGCCGCGUGAAGGACGAAGGUGCCAAGCAUUGUAAACUUCUUUUGUCAAGGGACAAAAUCAGGCUCGAGAGCCUGACCGAGGGUACUUGAAGAAAAAGCAUCGGCUAACUCCGUGCCAGCAGCCGCGGUAAUACGGAGGAUGCGAGCGUUAUCCGGAUUUAUUGGGUUUAAAGGGUGCGUAGGCGGACUGUUAAGUCAGCGGUAAAAGCCCGGGGCUCAACCCUGUCGAGCCGUCGGAACUGGC
rnacentral:rRNA from 1 species